rnacentral:rRNA from 1 species
AUUGAACGCUGGCGGCAUGCCUUGCACAUGCAAGUCGAACGGCAGCACGGGAGCAAUCCUGGUGGCGAGUGGCGAACGGGUGAGUAAUGUAUCGGAACGUGCCCAGUCGUGGGGGAUAACGUAGCGAAAGCUACGCUAAUACCGCAUACGAUCUGUGGAUGAAAGCGGGGGACCGUAAGGCCUCGCGCGAUUGGAGCGGCCGAUAUCAGAUUAGGUAGUUGGUGGGGUAUAAGCCUACCAAGCCGACGAUCUGUAGCUGGUCUGAGAGGACGACCAGCCACACUGGGACUGAGACACGGCCCAGACUCCUACGGGAGGCAGCAGUGGGGAAUUUUGGACAAGGGGCGCAAGCCUGAUCCAGAAAUGCCGCGUGCAGGAUGAAGGCCUUCGGGUUGUAAACUGCUUUUGUACGGAGCGAAAAGGCUCUCUCUAAUACAGGGGGCUCAUGACGGUACCGUAAGAAUAAGCACCGGCUAACUACGUGCCAGCCGCCGCCUAA